GUGUGCACACGUGUGCAUGGUGAGUGUGUGUGUGCACAUCUGCUCAUAGCCACGUGCCUGUGUGCACGUGGUGCUCCGCAAAGGCUGCCCUCACUGUUCAGCUCACCCACCUGCUGUCCCCUUCCUGGGCUCCUACCUCGGCACAGGCUCCUGGUGGCCUGGGUUUCCUUCCGUCCCUAAGCAGGGCACUGGCCCAGGGAGCCCCGAUCUUGCCUUCCUUACCCACGUCCCUCAAGGCUCAGCUCCCCGCCGCCUAGGGAAAUGCUCCAGGGAGACCGCAGGUAAGUCCCAGGACCUGGGGACUUGGCUGUGUGCUGUCCCCUUACCUGCACCAGGUAAUCCCCUUCGACCUCCGAGUGCCGGGGGAGGGACUCCCCUGUGGUUGGGGUGUGGGGGAGAAGCGCUGAGGCCGGUUCUGGUCCAGCUGAGGCCGGUUCUGGUCCAGGGCCCCCUUGCCCCUGCAGCAGCGGGGCCUGCAGGUGCGAGCGGAGCAGCGGUCGGCAGGCGGCGCUCGAGGCCCGCGGAUGGAGGGAGGAGCGGGCCGGGCGCAGGUGCGGUCGUCGCUGCAGGUGGGUGGGCUAGCAGACUCCCGGGGGCAGGUAGACACCCCGAUUCACAGAGCCUUGGAGGGACAGGCCCGGGCUCAGCCUCCUCCCCCUCUGGAGCAUUCUGGGCUGGUGUUAGAGGCCCGGGGGAGCCCGGCGGGGUGGGAACGACCUGGCGGGAGCUGGGCCUCGGGGACGGUGUAGAGAGCAGGGGCCCUGGAGUCAGACAGGCCUGGGCAGCUUCAGCUCUGCCAGGGGGUGGGGGGCGGACCGGGCAGGUGCUCCCCUGGAAUAGGGGCGAUGUGAGCUAGGUGCCCGGCCCGGGCCUCGACAGACGUCCUGCCAGCUGGCCGAGCUCUCACGGGUGUCCUCAGCUUCCGUCAACAGUAUUUAAUGAGCAUCUGCUAAGUGCCAGGCCCUUUGGGACUGUGAUGAGCACGUCCCGUAGGCUGGGCCCUGCCUGGGGGGCUACCAUUCUGUUGGCGGGGACGUGGCCUAGGGCUUGUUCUGCUCCGGCCCCCAACCUCUUAGCAGAGAGCCACAUCCAGCCACUGUCCACUCCAGACCUUGUCCUCACGUGUCCAAAGGGCCUGGCGCAGUUGGCCCUGUGCGUCCGGCCUGUGUCCUCUGGCUCUCCCCUCUCCCUGCAGUGCCCCUGCACUGGCCUCCUUGCCGGUCCCCAGGCACGCUAGGCAGGGUCCUGCCUCAGGGCCUUUGCCCUUGCCGAUCCCUCUGCCAGAAUGCUCUCCCUGGGCAUCCCCGUGGCUUGUUUCUUCACCUCCUUCUGCGUUUUGAUGAAGUGUCCUCCUGGCAGUGAGGCUUCCCCGCCCUCCCGAUUAAGCACCCCCGACUCCCAGCACUCCCCGUGCACCUGCCGCCUUUAUGCUUCCCUCCAGAAUUUAUUUUUAUUUCAUUUCUUUCCCUCUAGAACUUAUUAUUGCCAUCUGGCCACCUGUCUCUUUUACAAUACAUUUCUUUCUUAUCCACCCUCCCCUGUGAGAACGUAAACCCCGUGUGAGCAGAGUUCGGGCGGAUUUGUUUGUGCUGUAUCUUCAGAGCCUGAAACACGCCCGGCACGUUGUAGGCAUCGGUAAAUAUUUGUCAAGUGAGUGUCGAGUGCUGGCUCGAGGUCGCGUGCAUUCCCUGGCGGUGGAGCCCGCAUUCCGUGGAGGGAGGUGCCUGGCUUCGCGGCGGCUGGACCACAGCUGGCACAAACCCUUAGGGGCUGGAGGACUGCGGGAUGGGGAGGAGAAGGCAGGAGCAUUCUGGUUCUUUCUCGCUCUUUUUGGGACAGGAGUUGAGUGGCUGUGGUAAGCUCCGCUACUCCCUGCCCUAGUUGGCACAGGGUUGAGAGGCAGGUUUCUCCCUUUGAAAAACAUUGAAAAUGUAAAAAAAAAAAAAAAAAUUAGCAAUCAAAAGAGGGUGAUGGAUGAUCUUUCCGCCUUCCCUCUGACCCUGCUUCCCUCCCUCCCUCUCUUUCUUUCUUUCCUUCCCUCCCCCUUUCCUUCCUUUCUUCCUUUUGCUUUCUUUUAUUUUUUCCUCUUUCUCUUUUUUUUUACCCAUUCCCCCCCCCCCAUCUCUGACACUCACCCGUCCGUCCUUUUCUUCUGUGAAUCUGUUGUUUGGGUUCCAUAUAUAAGUGAGAUCAGGGUAUCUGGGUGGCUCAGUGGUUGAGCAUCUUGCCUUUGGCUCAGAGCUUGAUCCUGAGGUCCUGGGAUCGAGUCCCGCAUCGGGCUCCCCACGAGGAGCCUGCUUCUCCCUCUACCUGUGUCUUUGCCUCUUUCUAUGUCUCUCAUGAAUAAAUAAAUAAAAUCUUUAAAAAAAUAA